AUGAAUCUAAGCUCUCAGCACCGCCUCCCCUUUUAUCAGAGGCAGGACAAUUGUUCUGGCUUCCUGCACCAAGGGUGUGUGUUUCUAUCCUACGCCCUGCACUCCAACCCCUGUUCCAGACCCCAGAGGCCACUUCUCGUUCUGGCUUCUCUGGCCUCCUUGUGAGUUCUCCUGCUGGCUGGUUACUCUGAUUAAUUUUAAUUGUCAAUCUGCACCUUGGUGGCGGUACCCAAAUUAAACUGUGUCUGUGAAGGUAUUCCCAGCAUCCCAAUCUGUGGACCCGAGAAGGUAGAUCACCCUCCCUAAUGCAGAUGGCAUCAUCCAGUCUGUGGAAGAACCGGGAAGAACAAAAAAGUGAGAACUUGUAGUGGCGACCCUGGCAGCCUCAGAAGAUGGAGCAGGAGCAUUUUUUUCCUCGAGUCAAGGAAUUUCAGACCAGCCUGGAUGGACACAUAGCCAAAUCCUGUCUACAAAACUAGAACAAAAAGGGUUGGCUCUCCAGGUCAGUCAAAAUCCUCAGCAAGACUGUGAUCUUAGGAUGUUGCAUCUUGUCUCACUCCCUCCCACUUACUCUUUGAGACUCAGCAAAUCCAACUAGCCUUGAAUCUGUGAGUCGGCUAUGACUUACUGGUUCCACCAUGAGACUUGAAUAAGGGACUUCAAGGUCCUGACCAAACUCCGGGCCAUCUCCUGAACCAAUAUGAGGCCAAGACAACCAAUGGCAGUGUUCAUCUUCUCAAUCUGUCUCAAUGUAAAUGUCUUUGAUUUCAGCAGCCUCUUGCCCCUUUCUCUUUGCUAUUUUACAAACAUCUUUUUGUAAAGCUGUUCUUUGUCCUUGA